AAUAGUUUUUUAAAUGGAAACUGGAAUGAAAGAAGUGAUGAAAUUUAUACUGUCUUAGAUAGAAUUAUUGAAUUUAUUAAUUAAGUAAUAAGACUUAGAUAGAUACAUGGGACGAGAAGACCCUAUAGAAUUUUAUAUAAAUUGAGAAAAAAUUUUAGUUAGAGGAUUAAUUAAUUUAUAUUUAGUUGGGAGGAGGAUUAAAUUAGAAAAACUUUAAAAAAUUGAAAUCAUAAAUUUAUGAAAUUAAUAAUAAGAAUGAUUUUAAAAUUAAAAUAGAAUUAAUUACCUUAGGGAUAACAGCGUUAUAUUUUUAGAGAGAUCUUAUUAAUAAAAAUGAUUGC
rnacentral:rRNA from 1 species